rnacentral:rRNA from 1 species
AGGGGAAGGGGGGGGCUUUUAUUCCGAUGGGGGGAGGGUUUAUUUUGGGGGGUAAAAAAAAAGGGAAAAAGGGGGGUAUUCCUUUUGGGGGGAAAAAUUGAAAGGAACUUAACCCCAAAAACUUUAAACACAAGUUUUAAGUUUGAAAGAUGCAAUUGCAUCACUCAAAGAUGAUCCCGCGUUGUAUUAAUUUUGGUAAGUAAAGUUCACCAGGGGGUUUUCUUAGCCCCCUGGAGGGGAUUGCCCCAUUGGAGUGAAACGGCCCAAUUCUUUCGGAGGCCCGUUAGGAUUUUUGGCAAUGACGAAUUUCGCCCGGCAACCCGCCUGAUGAAGAAGUUUUGGAUUGUAAACUCUGUUGUAAAAAGAACUUGGUAAGGUGAAAGUUCAUCAGUGACGUACUUCCCCGAAAGGGACGGUAAUUAGGGCCAGCAGCGGGGUAAUAGUUGGUCCCGAGCGUUGUCCGGAUUUAUUGGGCGUAAAGCGAGCGCAGGUGGUUUAUUAAGUCUGGUGUAAAAGGCAGUGGCUCAACCAUUGUAUGCAUUGGAAACUGGUAGACUUGAGUGCAGGAGAGGAGAGUGGAAUUCCAUGUGUAGCGGUGAAAUGCGUAGAUAUAUGGAGGAACACCGGUGGCGAAAGCGGCUCUCUGGCCUGUAACUGACACUGAGGCUCGAAAGCGUGGGGAGCAAACAGGAUUAGAUACCUUGGUAGUCCACGCCGUAAACGAUGAGUGCUAGAUGUAGGGAGCUAUAAGUUCUCUGUAUCGCAGCUAACGCAAUAAGCACUCCGCCUGGGGAGUACGACCGCAAGGUGAAACUCAAAGGAAUUGACGGGGGCCCGCACAAGCGGUGGAGCAUGUGGUUUAAUUCGAAGCAACGCGAAGAACCUUACCAGGUCUUGACAUACUCGUGCUAUUCCUAGAGAUAGGAAGUUCCUUCGGGACACGGGAUACAGGUGGUGCAUGGUUGUCGUCAGCUCGUGUCGUGAGAUGUUGGGUUAAGUCCCGCAACGAGCGCAACCCCUAUUGUUAGUUGCCAUCAUUAAGUUGGGCACUCUAACGAGACUGCCGGUGAUAAACCGGAGGAAGGUGGGGAUGACGUCAAAUCAUCAUGCCCCUUAUGACCUGGGCUACACACGUGCUACAAUGGAUGGUACAACGAGUCGCGAGACAGUGAUGUUUAGCUAAUCUCUUAAAACCAUUCUCAGUUCGGAUUGUAGGCUGCAACUCGCCUACAUGAAGUCGGAAUCGCUAGUAAUCGCGGAUCAGCACGCCGCGGUGAAUACGUUCCCGGGCCUUGUACACACCGCCCGUCACACCACGGGAGUUGGGAGUACCCGAAGUAGGUUGCCUAACCGCAAGGAGGGCGCUUCCUAAGGUAAGACCGAUGACUGGGGUGAAGUCGUAACAAAGAGGCUUUGUGCCU